rnacentral:lncRNA from 1 species
GGUGGGAUACCUGUUUAACAUAUGUGUUUAUUUGAUGUUCUAUAUUCUACAGACUCUGCACCUGCUUCUUCAACCAGAAGGAACUCUGUAAAUAGUGAAGAGGCUCAUCAAGGACCCUAUUACGAGGAGAUUCCAGACAAUCAGCCUUCCAGUUCUACAGUUUAUGCCACCGCCGAAAACCCGAGAGCUCCAUCCAACACUGAAAGGGCUGCUAACAGAUCUACUGAGCCACCCGCUGAAUUCUACUCCAUGGCACAACUUUCCAAUCCAGCGUCAGGUGUGUCGGCAGUGUAUGCCACUGUGGACGACUGUACAUAAGGAGGACAAUCUAUAUGAUGGAAUCCAACUCUCAGCUUGCUUUAAAGUAUCAGCAUUAACAUGUUUUUGCCUCUUUUCUUUUAACAUUAUGUGAUAUUGUUUAAUCUUUUUAUGCACAUGUCUGUUGACAAGUUUCUCCAGUUUCAAAAUAAAACAGUUUCAGACUGACCA